UCUCCGUUGGUGAACCAGCGGAGGGAUCAUUAUCGAGUUUAUAACUCCCAAACCCUAUGUGAACUUACCACUUGUUGCUUCGGCGCGCGCUUCGGUGCCGCCGAGGACACUUAAACUCUUUGUUUCUAUAAGCAUUUCUGAGUGGCCGAAAGGCGAGAUACAAAUGAAUCAAAACUUUCAACAACGGAUCUCUUGGUUCUG
rnacentral:misc_RNA from 1 species